GGAAACAGGUGCUAAUACCGUAUAACACUAUUUUCCGCAUGGAAGAAAGUUGAAAGGCGCUUUUGCGUCACUGAUGGAUGGACCCGCGGUGCAUUAGCUAGUUGGUGAGGUAACGGCUCACCAAGGCCACGAUGCAUAGCCGACCUGAGAGGGUGAUCGGCCACACUGGGACUGAGACACGGCCCAGACUCCUACGGGAGGCAGCAGUAGGGAAUCUUCGGCAAUGGACGAAAGUCUGACCGAGCAACGCCGCGUGAGUGAAGAAGGUUUUCGGAUCGUAAAACUCUGUUGUUAGAGAAGAACAAGGAUGAGAGUAGAACGUUCAUCCCUUGACGGUAUCUAACCAGAAAGCCACGGCUAACUACGUGCCAGCAGCCGCGGUAAUACGUAGGUGGCAAGCGUUGUCCGGAUUUAUUGGGCGUAAAGCGAGCGCAGGCGGUUUCUUAAGUCUGAUGUGAAAGCCCCCGGCUCAACCGGGGAGGGUCAUUGGAAACUGGGAGACUUGAGUGCAGAAGAGGAGAGUGGAAUUCCAUGUGUAGCGGUGAAAUGCGUAGAUAUAUGGAGGAACACCAGUGGCGAAGGCGGCUCUCUGGUCUGUAACUGACGCUGAGGCUCGAAAGCGUGGGGAGCGAACAGGAUUAGAUACCCUGGUAGUCCACGCCGUAACGAUGAGUGCUAAGUGUUGGAGGGUUUCCGCCCUUCAGUGCUGCAGCAAACGCAUUAAGCACUCCGCCUGGGGAGUACGACCGCAAGGUUGAACUCAAAGGAAUUGAC
rnacentral:rRNA from 1 species